rnacentral:rRNA from 1 species
UUACGUACUGCGGAAGAUAUUAAGCUAUUCUCUUUGCCAGCGCUUAAUUGCGCGGCGAAAAACCUUACCCCCUCAUGUUUUUUUAAUUUGAAACUAUUGCUUUGGUCUGGCUUAGAAAUAGGUUGGGCCAAAGGUUUUAUCAAAACUUCAAUAUUUAUUAUUGAAUUGUUAUUUUUAAUUUUAUGUCAAUUUGUUGAUUAAUAUCAAAAAUCUUCAAAACUUUCAACAACGGAUCUCUUGGUUCUCGCAUCGAUGAAGAACGCAGCGAAAUGCGAUAAGUAAUAUGAAUUGCAGAUUUUCGUGAAUCAUCCAAUCUUUGAACCCACAUUGCGCCCUUUGGUAUUCCAAAGGGCAUGCCUGUUUGAGCGUCAUUUCUCUCUCAAAUCUUCGGAUUUGGUUUUGAGUGAUACUCUUAGUCAGACUAAGCGUUUGCUUGAAAUGUAUUGGCAUGAGUGGUACUAGAUAGUGCUGAACUGUUUUCAAUGUAUUAGGUUUAUCCAACUCAUUGACCAGUAAAGUAUUUGUUUAUUACACAGGCUCGGCCUUACAACAACAAACAAAGUUUGACCUCAAAUCAGGUAGGACUACCCGCUGAACUUAAGCAUAUCAAUAAG